rnacentral:miRNA from 1 species
GCCGUCGCCGGCAGUCAGG